GGCCCACCAAGGCGACGAUGCCUAGGGGUUCUGAGAGGAAGGUCCCCCACACUGGUACUGAGACACGGACCAGACUCCUACGGGAGGCAGCAGUGAGGAAUAUUGGUCAAUGGGCGAGAGCCUGAACCAGCCAAGUCGCGUGAGGGACGACGGCCCUACGGGUUGUAAACCUCUUUUGCCGGGGGACAAACGGCGGCACGCGUGCCGUCCUGAGGGUACCCGGAGAAAAAGCAUCGGCUAACUCCGUGCCAGCAGCCGCGGUAAUACGGAGGAUGCGAGCGUUAUCCGGAUUUAUUGGGUUUAAAGGGUGCGUAGGCGGGAUGCCAAGUCAGCGGUCAAAUACGGGGGCUCAACCUGCGUCCGCCGUUGAAACUGGCGUUCUUGAGUGGGCGAGAAGUACGCGGAAUGCGUGGUGUAGCGGUGAAAUGCAUAGAUAUCACGCAGAACCCCGAUUGCGAAGGCAGCGUACCGGCGCCCAACUGACGCUGAAGCACGAAAGCGUGGGUAUCGAACAGGAUUAGAUACCCUGGUAGUCC
rnacentral:rRNA from 1 species